CUCUCUAUAAUUUUAGUCCCAUAAUGUCGUAAUCUUUCUCAGUGUCCUCAAACCCUAAUUCUCUCUCAGAGUCCAGUCCACUAAUGGCUUCGCAAAUGGCGAUCUUCUUCCGCACGCGUUCUGUUCUCUUCUCCAAACUCUCUUCCCUCGUCAAAACCAUAUCCACUUUGCCGUCCUCUCGCAGGAGCCUCAGCUGGCGGAUCCCGCUCCUCUCCCUCCCAACCUCGCCUCCGACAGCCCUCUCUACCACCAAAACUGGCGCAUCUCUUCCUCUCUUUAUUUCUUUCUCCUUUGAAACCCUCUCUUUCUGAGAGAUUGGUUUUUCACAGCGAUAAGGUACUUUGAUUUCGUGUUUCUGUUGGUCUGCAUUUUCGUUUCAUGCAAUGCAUUUCAUUCUCUUUGAUGUCUCGGCGCGUCGAUUGUGUUAUUUGCUUUUGUUCUUUAGUUUACAGGUGCCUUUGCAUAUUCUAGGGUUUAAGGUUUUGCGUUUAGUUGUGUCAAACGCUCGAAUUGAACUGAGUUUUGAGAGAUGAGUGUUUGAGAAACAAUAGAAGAGAAAAGAGAAGGGAGAAGAGAGAGAAGGAUGUCGUCGUUGUCGAGCAUGUUUGGGUGUGGAGUGGUGAUGGCACCACCACAAGCACUGUAUCGCGUCGUCGGAGACCUGCCACACCUUCUUUGUCGUCUGCAAGGGAUUCGUCGACAACAUGGGACACCUCUUCCAGCUCCGCACCUGUUCUGAGAGGGUUGUGGUGAGUUUCAGCUUGAGUUCUCUCCACAAUUGUUUCAGGGUUUUAGGGCUGGCUAGGUUCAGAAUUGACGACUCGUUUUUGGGUGAAAAUGGGUGCUUGAUGGUUCAAGCGUUGGUGGAUUCCGAAGGGAGUUUCGUGGAUAUCUCAGCUGUGUGGCCAAUUACCAUGAAUCCUCAAACCAUUUUGUAACACUGGCAAGUACUGGUUUGGGUGGUCAGCUUUCUGGAGAUAUUGGAUCACUGUCUGAAUUGGAGAUUUUAUAACAGAAUCGGGCACAUUCCUGUGAUUGAUGAGAAGGGGAUGGUUGGAAUGGUGUCCAUUGGUGAUGUGGUUCAUGUUGGGGUGCGCGAGCACCGUCAAGAGUUUGAGCAUUUGAAUGCUUUCAUACAAGGGGUUAUUAGAUGAUGAUGAUGGUGAAAAUCUCUGAAGAGCACUGAAGCUAAUUUGGAUUAAGUAAUAAGCCUGAGUGUUUGUAAAUAUGUUUGUGAUUUCAGUUCUAUAGCAGCAUGUUAAUAAUAACAACCGGAUGCAUUUUGAAUCUGUUUUCAACUCUCGAAAACAUAUUUCACUGUUCAUUGAGUGCAAGUUCAAAUCUGCACUCUGCUGAUGGUAACUUUUCUUUUUGCCUU